rnacentral:lncRNA from 1 species
GACGAUGGAGAUGGUAGUCCAACAGAGGAGAAAGAAAUGAGGAGGGUUUCAGUUGCUAGAUUAAAAAAAGAGAAAAGAGAAGAGUGAAAAAAAUAAAAAAGGGUGAUGUUUUGCAAUGGCGCGCGGUGGUUGUCACGGUGGUGAAGGGCGGCACUAAAGGCAGCGGUGGAACAAAAAGAAGAAGAAAAGUGGUGGUGCAAAGAAGGUCUGAUGGUGGUAAAGGUGGUUCAAAACCAAGGAACGAUGGAGGAUAGGAGGAAUUAGAGAGAAAAUAGGUGGUUGAUGGCUAAACAAAAGAAAGAAAUGGAGAGAAUAGGGAGGAGCUUUAGGGAGGUGCAACAAUGAGAGGGGAAGAAUGAAAAGAUGGACGAAAAUCGAUUUUAUCAAACAUGUCUAGGUUCAAUGAACAUCACUCAUGGUAAGGGUGAUGAGAAUGGCAAGUUAAGGGAUAAAGGAGUGGAAAUGGGAUCAUGAGAGUGAAAAUGGG